rnacentral:rRNA from 1 species
GACGAACCGUGCGAACGUUAUUCGGAAUCAUUGGGCUUAAAGGGCGCGUAGGCGGGCUGUCAAGUCUGGGGUGAAAUCCCGCGGCUCAACCGUGGAACUGCCUCAGAUACUGACGGUCUCGAGGGAGGUAGGGGCGAGCGGAACUGAUGGUGGAGCGGUGAAAUGCGUUGAUAUCAUCAGGAACUCCGGUGGCGAAGGCGGCUCGCUGGACCUUUUCUGACGCUGAGGCGCGAAAGCUAGGGGAGCAAAGCGGG